CUUUUGGAGUGCUUGUCCUAUAAGCCCAGGGCUGUGGAUUCUAUCCCCAACAAUCAGUGAACCCAGCCUGGAAGUAGAUGCCUAGAUCCUGGCAUGAAGGAGAAUCAGGAAUUCAAGGACAAAUCUGAGAGCAGCUUGGGUGGGAUAUGAGAACCUGUCUUAAAAAUGGGUGGGAGUGGAUUCUUCAGGCCACCAAACACUGGGCUAUUACAUGGCAUAAGUAACUGUUAAGACAAGGUAAAAGAGAAAGUACAGGGCACACAUGUGAGUUACUGUAGCUUUUCUGUAAAUUUCAAAAUAAAAUGUUAAAAAUAAACCUGGUUGGAUGUUCUGUUCCUUCUACUUCCAUGCUGACAAGAAAUGAAAAAUAAACCAGUUUUCAUGGAUAGGAGAAGAAAAGCAUCUUGGGUAGUAAGAUUUUUUUCAUCAUACUUACUUUAAAAAUAAAAUUCUCAUAUAGAAACUUCCUUGAAGUCCAACUUGAAGCUGUUGGGAGUGGGAGAGACUUCAUAACUAAAUCCCGAGAACUUAUUUUGGAUAGGUAUAGAAGAUUAAGAAGGUUGUUUUAAGGCAGGUGUCGUGGUGCACACCUGUGGUCCUGGCAUUUGUGAUGUAGAGACUGAGUGACCAGGAGUUCAAGGCCAGCUUCUACAGAAGAAUAUCAAGGAUGUAUUUUCAGAAGUGAAAUCAGUCAUCUCUUGUACAAUUAAAACCACAUUCACACUGAAGAAAUUUGACAAAAACAUUCUAAUAUAUUUUCUCAAAAUAAACUCCAGCAAAGCCACUUGAAAAACAUGCAGUGAGAACUGCCAUGAGGCCUACAAAUUGAGAGCCCGUUGAAAGGUCCUUAGAGUUCAGCUCUUGAGAAUCUGAAGGCCACUGAAUAAAAACAAAAGCAACACUCAAGAGGGCAGUG